rnacentral:rRNA from 1 species
GACGAACGCUGGCGGCGUGCCUAAUACAUGCAAGUUGAGCGAUGAAGCUUGGUGCUUGCACCAAUUUGAAGAGCAGCGAACGGGUGAGUAACGCGUGGGGAAUCUGCCUUUGAGCGGGGGACAACAUUUGGAAACGAAUGCUAAUACCGCAUAACAACUUUAAACAUAAGUUUUAAGUUUGAAAGAUGCAAUUGCAUCACUCAAAGAUGAUCCCGCGUUGUAUUAGCUAGUUGGUGAGGUAAAGGCUCCCCAAGGCGAUGAUACAUAGCCGACCUGAGAGGGUGAUCGGCCACAGUGGGACUGAGACACGGCCCAAACUCCUACGGGAGGCAGCAGUAGGGAAUCUUCGGCAAUGGACGAAAGUCUGACCGAGCAACGCCGCGUGAGUGAAGAAGGUUGUCGGAUCGUAAAACUCUGUUGGUAGAGAAGAACGUUGGUGAGAGUGGAAAGCUCAUCAAGUGACGGUAACUACCCAGAAAGGGACGGCUAACUACGUG